rnacentral:rRNA from 1 species
UACAGAGGGUGCAAGCGUUGUUCGGAAUUAUUGGGCGUAAAGCGCGUGUAGGCGGCUUUGCAAGUCGGGUGUGAAAGCCCUCAGCUCAACUGAGGAAGUGCGCCCGAAACUGCAGAGCUUGAAUACCGGAGAGGAUGGCGGAAUUCCCCAAGUAGAGGUGAAAAUGCGUAGAGAUCGGGAGGAACACCUGUGGCGAAGGCGGCCACCUGGGCCGACCCUGACGCUGAGGCGCGAAGGCGUGGGGAGCGAACGGG